UCCUUCGGGAGUGAAGCUAGCGGCGGACGGGUGAGUAACACGUGGGCAACCUGCCUCAUAGAGGGGAAUAGCCUUUCGAAAGGAAGAUUAAUACCGCAUAAGAUUGUAGCUUCGCAUGAAGUAGCAAUUAAAGGAGCAAUCCGCUAUGAGAUGGGCCCGCGGCGCAUUAGCUAGUUGGUGAGGUAACGGCUCACCAAGGCGACGAUGCGUAGCCGACCUGAGAGGGUGAUCGGCCACAUUGGGACUGAGACACGGCCCAGACUCC
rnacentral:rRNA from 1 species